GACAGCGUCAGUGCGUAGGGUCAUAACGUUCCAUUUUAAGUAAGCCGAGGGAAGCUACUGUCCCAGGCUGCAGUGGAGUAAAGAGGAGAUGACCAACCAGAGCCUGGAAAGGCAUUUGGAGGUUGGAGGAUGCUGUAGUGAAGCUGAUAAGGAUUGCGGUAUUAACCUAGGAAGGAAGUAGGGGGCGGCUAUUCAGGACAAAAGAUCGAGGGGCACAGAGAAGUGGCUGUGGACUCGGGGUCAGGCGGCAGAAAGCAGCUGGUGCAGUCUGAGUCUGCUCAGGAGGACAGGGCUGAAAUGAAGACGGUAGUGCUCUAGACACGGCUGACGGCUGCACUCAUGUACUGUGAACAGGAGGGGUUUGGCUGUGGUUGCUUGCACAAGACCUGCACAAGACCACACCGAUCAAUGUUCAGGAAAUCACACUGAGUGACUUGAAUUCAUCUAGCAUUCCAGGGAAAAAUCCAAUUGGUCAUUGUGGUGUUUAAUCUUUAUUGUCAACUUGAUAGAUUUUGAGUUGCCAUGGAACAAACCUCUGAGCAUAUCUAUGAGAAACUUCUACAUUAGGCUAAUCGAGAUGGGAAGACUCAUCUUAAAUGUGAAUACCUCAUUCCAUGGGCUAGGGUCCAUGUCUGAAAAGAGAGGAAAAGGAAACCAGAUUGGUGUAACAUUCAUUGUUCUUUGCUUUCUAACUGUGGCUACAAUGUGACCACUUCUCUUUGCUUUCUAACUGUGGAUAUAAUGUGACCUCAGGGGUCUUUGCUGCUAGGAUUUCCCUGUCAUGAUGUUCAGUAUCCUCAAACUGUGAGCCAAGCUAAACUUUCCUUGAAUUGUUUUUGUUAUUUUCUUUAAAAUAUUAUUAUUUUACUUUAUGUGAAUGGAUGUUUGCCUGUAUGCAUAUCUGUGUAUCAUGUAGAUGCCUGGUAUCUAUUGAGAACAGGGGAGGGCAUAGGAUUACCUGGAACUAGAGUUACAGAUGGUUGGGAGCCACCAUGAAUCCCAGCCAUUG